rnacentral:rRNA from 1 species
CAGUCGCCACGGUAAUACAGAGGGUGCUAGCGUUAAUCGGAUUUACUGGGCGUAAAGCGUGCGUAGGCGGCUUCUUAAGUCGGAUGUGAAAUCCCUGAGCUUAACUUAGGAAUUGCAUUCGAUACUGGGAAGCUAGAGUAUGGGAGAGGAUGGUAGAAUUCCAGGUGUAGCGGUGAAAUGCGUAGAGAUCUGGAGGAAUACCGAUGGCGAAGGCAGCCAUCUGGCCUAAUACUGACGCUGAGGUACGAAAGCAUGGGGAGCAAACAGGAUUAGAGACCCCAGUAGUCCCUGUCUCUUAUAC